GAUUUCUGCCAGGACACCUGCGAACAGAUACCAGCUGCCUGGAGUCUGUCAGUUGCUGAGGAGGCAUAGGAAGAAACUAGUUCACCCAUGUCUCUCUUACACACAGGUUAAAAUCAACCUGUCAAAUCUCAUGAAAAACCUGGUGAAGUUUUGUUGGAAUUGUAUUAUACUGGAUGAUCAAUUUGGAGAGAUUUGACAGCUCCAGAAUAUGAAGAAUUUCUGGCUACAAAUAUGAUCCUGAAUUCCAGUGGAAUGGCUGAUACCAAGCAGCAUGAAGACCCCCCCAGAGGAGCACUAUCAGCAUGAAGACCCCUGCAGAGGAGCCUAAUCAGGAUGAGAAUGAGGCUUUGUAUGUGUACCAUCAAUCAAUAAUUGGAGGCUGACUGCCCUGGAAAAGCUGGGACUUGCACUGAAAAUUGGGGCCUGAUUCAUAUGCAGGAGAUGGGAUACAGAAGCUGAAGUUCAUGCGUAGGAGCCUAUAUAUCCUUCUCAGAAAGAAGGUGGGACAUCACAGAACUUUUUCACGAAAGUUGUUCUUUGCCUAUUCUAACUACUGAACAGAACCAUCAGUGAAGACUCCAUAGAACAUGAAUAUAAUGAUUAUGGCAUAGGAAAUUUUAAGUAGUUAUUUUCAUGUGCCGGACACCACAGGAAGAUCUCAAUGAUGCUUCUACUGACAGUCUAAUUUUGAAGGACACCAUGUCACUUCCUGCUGGAAUGAACUCAUGGCUGACCAUGAGCAUCUCUAGGUAACUAAACAAGCCUGCAUUUUGGAGCUAGUGAACAUAGACCCAUGGAAUUUGGAAGACAGCUGUGAAAAUGCUGCCUUGGCCUUAGAAUUGCUGGUUUUGAUAUUUUUUUAAGGCACAUGUUAGGGUGCAGGUUUUUCUACUUAAUGACAACAAGAACAUAUUUUCAACAUGCAAACACCCAGGUUUCUGUGGCAGGGACAUCAUGAUAACGUUCCAGAUAUUAAGAUAUUUGUUAUGAAAGAAGAGCAGGAUCCCGGCCCUGCUUUCUUCAUCCCAGGUGUGAGGGGGCCAUCAGCUGCUUUGUAGCCUCCAUUCCAGGAUGCAGGCUGCCCUUAACUCUUGGGUCUCCAUGCUUACAGAGGCAGCAAUAACUAGGUGCCUCUUGUAACACUGUUUGGUUUAACCUGGACACAGAGACAAAAGACAAGAAAGGAUCGAUUGCAGCUACACAAAGUGUUUCUUUAGUUGUAACAAACUUUUCAGUAGGAUGUUAGGAAACUUGGGUGGGGCUCUCUCCCAGCACACUGGGAAGCCUUGGAGGGUUUCAAAUGGGAAAACAGUAGGACUCUUGUUUUUCAAAAAGCGUUCUUGCUGCUAGGUGAAGAAUGAAUAUGGUGGGGGCAAGGUCUCUAAUACUACGUAAGAGUGGCUUCCAGGUCCCAGAAUGAGAAGUAUCUAGGGUUUUUAUAAAAUUUGAGGCUGCUUUAUUAAGACAGAGCUGGAAGAAAUGUCUCAGGGGGUCACUAGGGGUAAAGGAAUGUAUCAGAGUCAUAGUAUUCACAACUUUUUUUUUUUUUUUGAUGGAGUCUCGCUGUCGCCCAGGCUGGAGUGCAAUGCUGCAG